rnacentral:ribozyme from 1 species
UGCCCAGCAACUCCUAUCCCUACCUCCUCGCGGUACUGGCCGAGGUACGAGUAACCUUGGGGAAGAUCGGGUAACCAACUCCCGGUGCGAAAUAUGAUCGUAUGCUGACAGGGAAGG